rnacentral:misc_RNA from 1 species
AUAAAUGGAGGAAUCUACUGAAAGCUAGCCUUGCACAGAUAUCUUCAAAUAAAGGGAUAAAUUCCCGAAAAAAUGUCACUUCAAUGCGGAUUCCUGAACCCAUUUUAUUGAGAGUUAGAGGGCUUUGCUGAGAUGCAGUCACAGGUUCCACCAAAUCUAAGCUCAAGCAAGGUGGCUGGAAAUAGUGUACAUGAAAAACAAUCAGGGUGCUUAUAACAUUGUAACUUGUAGAUUUUAGUUGUAUAAAUUGCAAAUAAACGCACAUCAGUUUGUCCACAUUUUGAUGAUUGUUCUUUUGCUGCUGCCUCUUACGGUGGCUGGGGG